rnacentral:rRNA from 1 species
CGCUGGCGGCGUGCUUAACACAUGCAAGUCGAGCGGUAAGGCCCCUCGGGGGUACACGAGCGGCGAACGGGUGAGUAACACGUGAGUGACCUGCCCCUGACUCCGGGAUAAGCGGUGGAAACGCUGUCUAAUACCGGAUAUGACCUUCCGUCGCAUGGCGGGGGGUGGGAAGCCUUGUGCGGUUGGGGAUGGGCUCGCGGCCUAUCAGCUUGUUGGUGGGGUAACGGCCUACCAAGGCGAUUACGGGUAGCCGGCCUGAGAGGGCGACCGGCCACACUGGGACUGAGACACGGGCCAGACUCCUACGGGAGGCAGCAGUGAGGAAUAUUGGUCAAUGGGCGGGAGCCUGAACCAGCCAAAGUAGCGUGCAGGACGACGGCCCUACGGGUUGUAAACUGCUUUUCCGGGAGGAUAAAGUGAGCCACGCGUGGUUCAUUGCAGGUAUCCCGGGAAUAAGGACCGGCUAAUUCCGUGCCAGCAGCCGC